rnacentral:rRNA from 1 species
CCCUUAGAUGUCCUGGGCUGCACGCGCGCUACACUGGAAGUUACGGAUUGAGAUACUACCUUGUCCGAAAUGGUCCGGGUAAUCACCUAAAAGCUUGUCAUGAUUGGAAUGGAUUAUUGUAACUAGUAAUCCUGAACGAGGAAUUCCUAGUAAGUCCCAGUCAACAGCUGGUACUGAUUACGUCCCUGCCCUUUGUACACACCGCCCGUCGCUACUACUGAUUGGACGUUUAAGCAAGAUUUUUAAACACUGACAGUGUGUAGUUCACGCUAUACUACAGUGAGAAGAAGAAGAUCGAGCUUACUUGUCUAGAGGAAGUAAAAGUCGUAACA